UACGUAGGGUCCGAGCGUUGUCCGGAAUUACUGGGCGUAAAGAGCUCGUAGGUGGUUUGUCGCGUUGUUCGUGAAAACUCACAGCUCAACUGUGGGCGUGCGGGCGAUACGGGCAGACUAGAGUACUGCAGGGGAGACUGGAAUUCCUGGUGUAGCGGUGGAAUGCGCAGAGAUCCGGAAGAACACCGGUGGCGAAGGCGGUUAGCUGGGCAGUUGCUGACACUGAGGCGCGACAGCGUGGGGAGCAAACAGG
rnacentral:rRNA from 1 species